rnacentral:sRNA from 1 species
UAUAGACAUACGAAUCAUCUCAUUGUACAAUUCUUCAGCAUCCAAAAACUUUCCUUCUUUCACAAACGCAUCGAUCAAUGCAUUGAAAGUGAUUA